rnacentral:rRNA from 1 species
GACGAACGCUGGCGGCGUGCUUAACACAUGCAAGUCGAACGGAGCGAAUGAAAGCUUGCUUUUAUAAGCUUAGUGGCAAACGGGUGAGUAACACGUAGACAACCUGCCGACAGGAUGGGGACAACAUUCCGAAAGGAAUGCUAAUACCGAAUGAAGUGCAGGGGAGGCAUCUCCUCUGCAUGAAAGAUGGCCUCUUUUUAUGCUAUCACCUGUUGAUGGGUCUGCGUCUGAUUAGCUGGUAGGUGAGGUAACGGCUCACCUAGGCGACGAUCAGUAGCCGGUCUGAGAGGAUGAACGGCCACAUUGGGACUGAGACACGGCCCAGACUCCUACGGGAGGCAGCAGUGGGGAAUCUUCCGCAAUGGGCGCAAGCCUGACGGAGCAACGCCGCGUGAGUGAAGAAGGUCUUCGGAUCGUAAAGCUCUGUUGAUGGGGACGAACGUGCCUAAUGCGAAUAGUUUUAGGCAAUGACGGACCCAUCGAGAGCCC